GCUUUCUCUGGCAGUCCAAGCUCAACUGGAAUCGUGUCUCUGCCGGAUGGUAUUUCGGUAAUUACAGGCUGGACGGGCUGUUGAUGAAGAGGAGACCUGUUGACGGGAGGAAAACCACCGCCUGCUCCAAAACAAGUUUUCUUGUUUUUGAAUACAGUAGAUUUCUGCAUAAGAUGCUUAGAAAAGCUUGAGUUGUCAAGACAACCGUGGAGCCUGCAGAGACGUCACACACUGCCCUCUGCUGUGUGAACCAGGCUUUCACGGGGGUUACCGAGUUCACUGAGGUCAUCUAGAUUUUUGGUUCCUAAAUUGAUAACUGAAAUCCGGCUCUUAUGAAAGAGGAGCAUGGGCCCAUGUUGCUUAUUCGUGACUUGUACUCUGUAAUGACGUACAUGCUGUAAAAUUGAAAUGAAUAUUGAUAUUAUUAAAGGAGUUUUCUCAGUCUCUUUC
ensembl:lncRNA